CCCUUAGAUGUUCUGGGCCGCACGCGCGCUACACUGACGAAGUCAGCGAGCAUGUCCUACGCCGACAGGUGCGGGGAAUCUUGUCAAACUUCGUCGUGAUGGGGAUUGAUUAUUGAAAUUCUUGAUCAUCAACGAGGAAUUCCUAGUAAGCGCAAGUCAGCAGCUUGCGUUGAUUACGUCCCUGCCCUUUGUACACACCGCCCGUCGCUACUACCGAUUGAAUGGUUUAGUGAGAUCUUCGGAUUGGCGCCACUGCGGCUCAGCAAUGGGCUCGGUGGAUGCCGAAAAGUUGAUCAAACUUGAUCAUUUAGAGGAAGCAAAAGUCGUAACA
rnacentral:rRNA from 1 species